CCUACGGGAGGCAGCAGUGGGGAAUAUUGCACAAUGGGCGCAAGCCUGAUGCAGCCAUGCCGCGUGUGUGAAGAAGGCCUUCGGGUUGUAAAGCACUUUCAGCAGGGAGGAAGGCGGUGAGGUUAAUAACCUCAUCGAUUGACGUUACCCGCAGAAGAAGCACCGGCUAACUCCGUGCCAGCAGCCGCGGUAAUACGGAGGGUGCAAGCGUUAAUCGGAAUUACUGGGCGUAAAGCGCACGCAGGCGGUCUGUCAAGUCGGAUGUGAAAUCCCCGGGCUCAACCUGGGAACUGCAUUCGAAACUGGCAGGCUAGAGUCUUGUAGAGGGGGGUAGAAUUCCAGGUGUAGCGGUGAAAUGCGUAGAGAUCUGGAGGAAUACCGGUGGCGAAGGCGGCCCCCUGGACAAAGACUGACGCUCAGGUGCGAAAGCGUGGGGAGCAAACAGGAUUAGAUACCCCGGUAGUC
rnacentral:rRNA from 1 species